UGCGAUCACCCAUGCGACGCCGCACUCCCCAAAAGCUAGACCAAGCGCAUCGACCACCAUAAAUCGGUGAAUCUAUCCUAUUCCAACCAACGCCGAACCAGCCGUAGAAGACCCAACAACCUGGAAACUGAAACACCUGUCACACUCGUCCCUUUAUCUUUGACCGAUGGCUUCACAAGGCUCUAACAACACCCAAACAAACCCCGGCCACCGCUCUCACUCCGAAAGCCACAUGCGACCGCGGAAAAGGAAGUGACCCUCUAACCCCCAGCGGCAGACGACCAACGAAAGGGGCUGCCGAAGGAGUUGGCGUGGAGUGUUGGAGAUGGCUUGGGACUGAUUGGUGGUGACAGGACAUGACGGUGGCGUGGAGUGUUGAGAUGAUUUUGGCAGCAGCUAUGGUGUGAGCGGCUGGUUUUGUUUGGGUUUGAAAAUAAUGGUAAAAAAAUGGUGAUUAUAAUAGGGUUGUACAAUUAUCAUAAACACAUGUAGCUUAACUUAGAGAUUGUUAGAUUAAAAUAUGCAAUUGUAAGCACAUAUGUAUAAUGUUAAUCUUAUUAUAAGGUAUGAUAUAAAAUUAAGUGAUAAAUUAUAUUACAGG